UAGAAAAAGUUGUAUUUCAAGACCGUUUUAAAUAUAUGCACUGAUUAAAACAUUUGCAAAGACUGUCUAGUCAAGUAGUUUUCGUUUGACUUUCUCUAGAGCAAAAAUUUCAGAGUUUGUGCCUUUAACUCAGGACCGGACUAAAUUUAAUAUUGAAUUAACAGGUCAUUUGUUAUUUAAUGAUGUAAAGUUCCAGUAAAAAUCACGGCUUACGGUACCUUAAAAUAUACUUAACACAACAUUUUGAAAGGUAGAGCUCUUAUUUUCCUUCAUGGGCACUUACAAAUUAUAGUUGAAUGAGUGCGUGAAUAUAAAUAGGCCUUUUCUCCUGACGAGAGGCGUUACCCUCGACCUGGACCCCUUCCUGCUCAAGUAAUUACCCCAAGCCUUUUAAAAUGAUCCUGAAGUUCUAAUUAGACACAAUCUUCUUUGCUUCCUAUUGUAAACUGCUGCCUUGAGUGCUGGUCUGAGGUGGGUUUCAAAGCCAUUGCCCUUCCCCCAGCAUCCUGAAGGUGCUGUGACUGCUAAUUACUACCCCCAAUACUUCAGCACCGCAGGGUCUGAAAGGGGGCCACGGAAUUGCAGCGUCUUACUGUCUUCUCCACCACUUCCCAAGGCCUGUGCAGCUUGGCGAAGUAAAGCCGAGAAGGGAAAGUCGACAUGUCUGGACAGCCACGGUGCAUAUCGCCGUACUACUGCGGGUCCCCCCGCCCCCGAAUAUUGCUCUAGGUCCUACUGGGCCAGGAAGGAGGGAGCUUGGAGCCAGAUGCUGAAUCAGUUUGCAAGUGUGAAUGAUUAUGUUAUUAACAGUUUACUGGAGAAGGACAGCACCUGCAACUGUGAAUCAUCUUAAUCAACUUAAUAGACUGUUUUAAAAUCGGUGCAAUGAAAGGAACACCAAGCCCGACAGAAUGUGCCCGAAAUGAAACAGUGUGGAACAGAAUCGUGAAAUGUGCAUGUUCACAAACUGACGGUGAAUUCUCUACAAUGCUUUCUCGUGGCAGCUAUUCGAACAUAAGCUACGAUGUCCUGGAAUAUCCUCUGAACAUUCCUGGGAAUAUACACAAUCAGCAUGCAAUUCCUAUGUUGAUGCUACUUUAGGCCACACCUGAGCUGUCCGAAGCCCAUUCACCCCGUGGCCUCCGGCCGGCUCGGAAGCUCUCUCCCUGGGUGCUGUGUGAGAGACAGCCCUGUUGUUCCUCAGCUCACUGACCCCGUGGCCAGCAGGUCUCAUACUUGACCACAGUGAGAUGAAGCGACCAUCGCAGAGCUGUGUAAGCCGGCUUCCUCCUUUACCUGUGCCUCCUCCAAACUAACACAGCCAGCACCUCUUACAGGAAGCCUCAAAGGGCUUACUACAAGGAGGAAGAGACAAGAAAAGCAAAGACCUUCCAACCCUGCCCUGGAAAAUUCCGGAAUCCCAAACAGUGACCUGUGCACAGCAAAUCCUCCGGUAAGAUCUACAGUAACAUGCUCUCCCCCAGAGACCAAGGUUCGAAUAUAUGGAAGACAUUUCAUUCCUCCUAUUAUAACAGAGCGAAUUAUGGGAAAGGACAUGCGUAGGUAGGGAUGACACCGCUCACAGUCAGUCAUGUUUCCAGUCCUGCACCAAAGACCCAAGAGGAGGCACCCAGACCCUGCAACAUUUUGAACCCCCACAGCUCAUGCCAUUUUCCUCUUGCACCCUGGGCAUAAUCACUCUAACCAAGCACUCACCGUAAUAAACUUCGCAGCUUUUCCCUCACCAUUGCUUGCCACAACCAAUUCUUUGUUACAUACAAGAAUCCAGGAACCUGUCCCGGACCCCUUCACUCAUGAUAACAAAUCCACAUUCAUACCACUUUUAUAAAAUAAUUUUGAACAUGUCUGAUGAAAUUCUAAGCGCAGUGAGAGGGAAAAGAUAAUUUUAAAAAUAAUAUAAACUACAGACACAGUCGUCUCACCUGAAGUAAGAGGCUAGAUAACAGUGGAAUCAUUCUUUUAUCGGGGAGAGAAAAUAAUUGCCAACCUGCAAUGUCUAGCUGAGCCAUUGUCCAAGAGACAGCGAAAUGACACUAUUUGUAUAGAAAGACUGAGGGGUACUCUCAAAACCUUGUAUCAAGAAAUUUAAAUCCAGAAUGGUGUGUGGCACAAUGGUAACAUAGAAACAAACAUUGAUAAGCAUAUGAGUAAGUAAGAACUAAGCGGUGAUUGAUGGGUUAUUAUAAAAGAAGCCCAACGACUCAUUCAGGGAGAUAUAAGCAAGAUGAAAGUAAAAUAAUUGCCAGUGAUAAGCUGUCAGGAGAGAACAAACAUUUCAGUUCCAUUUCAGUUACACUCCUGCUAAGAAGGGAGCUAUGAUCGGAAUAUUAUUUUGCCUCACCUGAUAAAAUCUCCACUCCGCUCUACCUGCCCUCUGCCCUGGAAGGUGAUGUGAAUGGAAACCAUUGUUACAGCCCUGAGCCUGGGCUUCUGCUUCAGAGAGAAAUCAGGUGUAUAUGUUGCCCUUUCUGUGUGCCUGUGAUUCAUCGAGGAUCAGCUGCUCCCCCCGCCCCUCUGCAGAGAAGCGAAUUACACAUGAAUCCCAGUGCUGGUCAUCGUGGAAAAGACUCACUUUUUCACAGAUAAAAAUUAUAGAUGUUGGGGUUUGGGGAGAAAGCAAAAACAAAACACAAAAACCUAAGGCUAAAAAGCAAAACUCAGUUCCCUGAAAGCACUGGAAAGUAGAAAGGAGACAGAAAGUGUAAGAAAUGAAGUUCUUGAGAGAAGUGCGUUUACCCCUACAAUUUCCUGGCCUUUCCUCUCUGACCUCUUGUAGUUCUCAGUCAGUGGGGGAGGCAGAGUACUACCUGGAAGGACCACGGCUCUGGGCCUUCCAGAGAGACUUGCAGUAAGGAAGAGAACAUACUCUAAAGGAGGGCACUUUGAAAUGUACACAUUGUCCCCCUUAAACUGUUAGCAGACUCCUAAGUCUUCUCAGGGCAAGACCUGGAGAAAAUGGAAGAAAUGAAAAUAAGGGAGCUAAGAAAGGAUUUCAGCAGCGGUGGCCACAGAGUUUAGAGUUCAAGUUCUCCUAAGCUUCAGAAGCACUGAAACCAUGUUAGCAUUUAACUGGGACUCCAAAAAUCCAUGUGCUAAGUUGGGGCAAAAUUAGGAUACACCAGAUAUUACAAACCCUUUAGAGCAAGGUCUGCAAGCUCAGUAAGAUAAAAGUGGAAAUCUCAAAUCCUUCUACGAGAGUACAGAGCCAAAGGAAUUGAAAUCAGAUGUUGAAUAGUUCUCCAUGUCUGUUCACUGAACCACUUGUCACAAAAGCCAAGGUGGACAAGCAGUCUAAAUGUUUAGAUCAAUGGAUGAAGAAAAUAUGGUAUCUGCUCACAGUGGAAUACUCUUUAGCCUUAAAAAAGUGGAGCCUGCCAUUUGUGACAACAUGGACGAACCUGGAAGUCAUUAUGCUAAGUGAAAUAACUCAGUCAUAGUAGGGAAAAUGCCAUGUACAUUCUCUUAUAUGUACAUUCUAAAAUUAUCAAACCCCCAGAGAUGGAGACACAAAGCUGGUGUCCAGGGUGUAGGAGGUGGGUGAAAUGGGAGGGGUUAGUCCAAAGGUACAAACUUUUAUUUACAAGAUAAUAAAUAUCUGGAGAGUAAAUGUACAACUAGGCAACUAUGGCUAAUAAGUGAUGUGCAUUAAAUAUUUCAAAUGUGCUAAGCGAAUAGAUCUUAUGCGUUCCCAUCAGACACACACAUACGCACACACACACCCUUACUGAAAGGUAGGUGUACGAGGUGAUAGAUGUGUUAAUCAGCUUAAUUAUGGUAAUCACAAUGUACACAUAUGUCAAGACAAUACGUUUGACAUACUAUGAUUACAAUGUAAUAGAAAUAUCUGAUCUCUUGCCCUGUACAUCUCUUCCAUCUGGCUAUUCAUCUUGAUGCACUUUGCAGCCUUCAUUAGUGAAGCAUAAAUGUCAAUAAAAUGUUUCCCUGGAUUCUGUGAGCUCCCCCAGCAGGAGAAAUAGAUGGAAGAGAAAGUGGCAGGAGGCUCAGGUCACAACCUGGGCCCCACGACUGACAUCUGAGUCACAACAGACCCCACCCUCACCUGUGAGCAUGACAGUCUCAGAAUCAGAGUGACUUAGAGGACACCCAGCUGGUACCUGCUGCAGAAAUACCCAGUGUGGGGAAAUCCCCCGCACUUCUGUCAGAAGCAUUCAUGUGAAU